UCCGAAGGGGGCUAGCGUUGCUCGGAAUCACUGGGCGUAAAGGGUGCGUAGGCGGGUCUUUAAGUCAGAGGUGAAAUCCUGGAGCUCAACUCCAGAACUGCCUUUGAUACUGAGGAUCUUGAGUUCGGGAGAGGUGAGUGGAACUGCGAGUGUAGAGGUGAAAUUCGUAGAUAUUCGCAAGAACACCAGUGGCGAAGGCGGCUCACUGGCCCGAUACUGACGCUGAGGCACGAAAGCGUGGGGAGCAAACAGG
rnacentral:rRNA from 1 species